GAUGAAGAACGUAGCGAAAUGCGAUAAGUAAUGUGAAUUGCAGAUUUCAGUGAAUCAUCGAAUCUUUGAACGCAUCUUGCGCUCCUUGGUAUUCCGAGGAGCAUGCCUGUUUGAGUGUCGUGAAUACUCUCAACUUCAACCCUUUUUUCGGAAAGGGAGGAAGGUUGGACUUGGGUGUUUGUUGAAGUGCGAGCUUCGACUCAUCCUAAAUGCAUUAGCGAUCUGCCUCGAUCACACACAAUGUGAUAAUUAAAACUAAAGCAUUGUUUAAUGAUCAAGUCGAGACUGCUUCUAACUGUCGCAAGACAAUAACGUGCAUACAUUUGUGCAUGUCAUUUGACCUCAAAUCAGGUAGGACUACCCGCUGAACUUAAGCAUAUCAAUAAGCGGAGGA
rnacentral:misc_RNA from 1 species